rnacentral:lncRNA from 1 species
AUUCCGAGAUUGUGUGCUGAGGGUUUUCAACUGCAUCUCUAAAGGGAAGGCCAAAGAAAGAGCAACAGGAAAGGAUGACCUGCCUUGCAAGAAAUGUUAAAAGAAGUGCUUUAGAGAGCAGGGAAAUUCUAUAGGUCAGACACUUGGAUCUACAUAAAAAAAGGAAGAAACCAAAGGAGAAAUAAGUGAAGGCAUGGAAACCUUGUUCCACACAUUGCCUGGUGCCCUGUCCAGCGCUGCAAGGUGCACUGCGUCUCCUCUGCCCAGCAAGCCACAAGCCCCUCCAGGGUGAGAGGAGAGCCUUCCCUUCCCUUGGUCCUCCCUUCGACACAGGGAGCUGGAGCUGGACAGCCCCAUAGGCACUCAGGGCUUGAAGAAGAUAUCUAGAAAUGUCAAAGCAGAAGAGCCUCGGAGAUAAUCUGAACUAUUUCUGAGUUUAUAUAAGGGAAAACUGAGACUGGAGAGAACUAACAUGUCUAAUAUUACAAUGGAAACUUGUAAUAAAACCACAAA